UACAGAGGUCCCAAGCGUUGUUCGGAUUCACUGGGCGUAAAGGGUGCGUAGGUGGUCAGGUAAGUCGGAUGUGAAAUCUCCGAGCUCAACUCGGAAACUGCAUUGGAAACUACCUGGCUCGAGGGUUGGAGGGGGGACUGGAAUGCUUGGUGUAGCAGUGAAAUGCGUAGAUAUCAAGCGGAACAUCAGUGGCGAAGGCGAGUCCCUGGACAACUCCUGACACUGAUGCACGAAGGCCAGGGGAGCAAACGGG
rnacentral:rRNA from 1 species